UGUGAAUCUUGUGGGAAGCAAGAUAUGCCUCAAAAUACAGAAGCUAAAAUGUCCAAAGUAUGUAUUUUUCUGCCUGUCUGGUUGUUUGGGCAUGGGCAUGGGACCUCAGCUCAGCCAAACAUACCACCAUACCCAUUAAAUCUGGAGUGAGUAUCUCAAAGAAUGAGGCAGAAUUGUUCUUCCCAGAUAGCUCUUAUAAAUUCUCUAGUUUUGGUUAAUUCCUAUCUACUGUUAAGCCAGGUUUUUCAAACUUUUCCAAAUUUAUUUAUUUCCCCUCACUUCCGAGUGUCUUCAGCCAGCCAAUGAGAGCUCCAGAAACAGUCAGAGAAAGAGAGGAGAAUGUGAGCUUUUAGUUGCUCCAUUCUCUAUUUUUUAUAUAUUACAUAAUAAAUAUUUAUUUUAUUAUAUAUCAUAUGUGAUAUAUAUCAUAUACAUCAUAUAUAUCAUAUAUAUAUAUGACAGAGUCUCACUAUGUUGCCUGGCUGGAGGGCAGUGGUGCGAUCUCAGCUCACUGCAACCUCCACCUCCCUAGUUCAAGUGAUUCUCCUGCCUCAGCCGCCUGAGUAGCUGGGAUUACGUACACAUGCCACCAGGCCCAGCUAAUUUUUGUAUUUUUAAUAGAGAUGGGGUUUCACCAUGUUGGCCAGGAUGAUCUACAUCUCCUGACCUCGU
rnacentral:lncRNA from 10 species